UACGGGGGGGGGCGAGCGUUGUUCGGAAUCACUGGGCGUAAAGGGCGCGUAGGCGGCCCGCACAAGUCUGCGGUGAAAACCUCCGGCUUAACCGGGGGCCGGCCGUGGAAACUGUCGGGCUGGAGGCUGGGAGAGGGCAGCGGAAUUCCCGGUGUAGCGGUGAAAUGCGUAGAGAUCGGGAGGAACACCGGCGGCGAAGGCGGCUGCCUGGACCCAGUCCUGACGCUGAGG
rnacentral:rRNA from 1 species